GCCCGGCUAGCUCAGUCGGUAGAGCACGAGACUCUUAAUCUCGGGGUCGUGGUUUCGGGAACUUCUCUGGUA
rnacentral:tRNA from 1 species